ensembl:lncRNA
UUUAAGCGAAUUUGAUCAUAUAAUCAAUAGUUUUCAAGAUCGUAAGAAAUUAACAAAUGCAUUGGAAAAAGAAUUUUUUAGAGAGUUUUUAGAUGAACGUGAUAAUUAUAUUUAUAAUAUAAAUACUUAUUUUAAUAAAUCAAAAGAUGCGGAUGAAGAAAAAGAAGAAAUUUUAAGAAAAAAAAAACAAUUAUAUAACAUUUUUUUAAGAAAUUGGAGAAAUGAUGGUUACCGUUUUUAUAGUAUUUACAAUAGAAAGAAAGCAUAUAUCCCUAAAAAAAAUAGAUUUACAAAUAUUUAAAAAAAAAGGUAUAUUAUCUAUUGAAGAAUUAGAACAACAACGACAACAUAAUAACAAAUAUAAAGAGCGUAAUAUGGUAAGUUUGCCAUUUAAAGGAGAUGAUAAUACAAGUAUAACAAUUCAAAAAAGUGAAAUAGACGAUCGUAUGACAUUACCAGAAGAAUUGUAUAUAUUAGAAAAACAGGAUGAAAAAGAUAAUGAACAAAAUGAGUAUGAAACAAUAGAUAUAAAUGGUAAAAGAAAUAAAAAAUCUAAUAAAAAUAUUUCAGAGUUAAAUAUUUCAUCUGUAAUAAAAAAUGGUAUGAACAAAUCAUAUAAUGUCAAUAACAGAUUUGAUAAAGAUAGACAAAAAUCUGGUAAUUAUAGUGAAAAUGACAGUAACGAUAAUAGUAAUAAAAAAAGUGUAUAUUACCAAAUGAGAGAUGAUUUUUUUUUAAGUGAUAAAGCUCUUAAUGUUAUGACCAUAUUAAAUGCAAUUUCGUCGAAUAAAGAUAAUAAAGUUGUUACAAAAUUAUAUGAGUUUUUAAAAAUGUUAAAUAUAACAACAUUUGAACAUUUAAUUAGGUAUACAAAUAUAUUAGGUAUAUUUUUUGCUUAUGAUAUAUUUGAUGAAUUAUAUUUACAAAUAAAAUUGAUAAAAGAAUAUUUUGGUUUUUUUAAAAAUGAAAAUAGAAAUUAUCAAUCGUUAAUAGAAGAAUCGGAAAAAAAAAAAAAAAUAAUAAUUUAUAAAGAAUAUAAAAUGAAAGAGGAUGAAAUGUUUGUACCGUACAAUUGUUUAAAUGUAUAUUGUAAAUUAAGAUCUGCUUGGGUAAAAAAUAAAACAUUUGACAUAAAAAUUAAUAGACAUUCAAUAAAAAGUAUUAAUUUUAUGACUAUUGGAGAUAUAGGACAAGGAUUAGAAGAUGAAAAAAAUAAUUUACAAAACAUUUAUGCUAUGUUUGGUUUUAAUGAAUUAAAAAAAACAGUUGAUGCUAUGAAACAUUGGCAUUAUCAAAAUAAUGCAGAUUUUAUUAUUAAUUUAGGAGAUAAUAUACCAAACGAUGACAGUGUAUUUUCAACAGAACAUAUGCAUUGGUAUAAAUUUAUGAAAGAACUUUUUGUAUUUAAAAAAAGAAGUGAAGAAGAAAUUGCAGAUAUGUUUGAUAAUAAAGAAAUUACAGAUGAAAAAAUAAAUGAAUUUUAUCAAGAUCAGUUAGAUAAGGCACGUAGUAGUGGUGGUGGUGGUAGUAGUAGUAGUAGUAGUAGUAGUAGUAGUAGUAGUAGUAGUACUGGUGAUGGUAAUAACAACAUGAAUUCUUUUAACUCUACUUCAAAUGUAAAUAAUUUAAACCAACAAACGGAUGAAGGAGAUGUAAAUGGGAAAGAAAAUAAUGAAAAAGAUAAUUUUCGUGCAUCUUUUAUUUUUAUUGACACAUGGGCAUUAUUAGUUGGAUUUCCUAUUAUACGUAAUUAUAGAUCUUAUCGAGAACAGUAUAAUUGGAUAAGUCAAACAUUAUAUGAAAGUGCAAAAAAUAGUGAUUGGAUUUUUUUAGUAGGUCAUCAUUCACUUUUAUCAAGUGGUAUAAGAUCAGGUGAUUAUACAUUUGAAGAAAAUUCAUUUUAUGAUGUAUUAAGAGAUUUUUUAUUUACAUAUAAUGUAGAUGCAUAUUUUAGUGCAAAUGAUCAUUUAUUGGAAUAUAUAAAGUUUGGAAAUGCUAAUUUAUUUGUUAAUGGAUCAGCUGCUCGUGUUUUAUUUGAUAAUUCUUAUCUGGGUCGAGGUUAUUUUGGAAAAGUAAUAGGAAAAAUGUAUCCAAUUACUUGUUAUAUUUUAAAAACAAUACAUGUUGGAUUAAAACCAAAAGGUUGUACACUUAAUAGAUAUUCCAAAUGGGCUAAUAAAGAAGAUAUAGGAUUUAGCGUACAUAAAUUAACAAAAAAUGAAAUGGUUACAGAAUUUAUAAAUAGUAGAACAGGAAAACCAAUUAGUCAUAAAAUUGUUAUAAAAAAUAAAAGAGCAGAACGUUUGAAAUAUUAUAAUUUGGAUAAAUUUGUAGAUAUACGUAUGAAUGAAUUAGAAAAUAAAAUAAAUGAAUUUCAAUUUAAAAAUCCAGAAUUUGUUAAUUAUAAAAUUAAACAAAUUGAAGAAUAUAAUUAUAAUUUGGAAGUAGCUAUGAGUAGUUUAACAACUUCAAAAGAAAGAGAUGCAUUCGAAACAUUAAUACAUUUUAAUAAUGUUAUAUUUGAUAUAUCUUCUAAUUUAGAACCAUUAGGUUUAAAAAAAUUAAAACUUAUGCAUAAGUUAGCAAAUAAAUUUAAAGGAUUUUUUUCAUAAAGAUUAUACUGCUUAUAUAGAAACUGCAAUAGAAAAAAUAAAACAAAAAGAAUCAAGUUCA